rnacentral:misc_RNA from 1 species
CGGCAAACAUAUAAGAUAUUCCAUCAUACAAACAAUGACAAUUGGCAAGUUUAAAUAUCUUAAGUUUAGAAUAAAAACCUACCUCUAUAAUGUCCUCAGGCAAUAAGAAAAUCGAGCAUCCAAGUUUUCGGGCUACACUUAUUAUAUAGGUAGCAUUCAUCUUCUUAUCCUCAUCUGCAAAUGCCAGUAACAAAAAGUGAGGCAAUCUUAAAGCUUCAUGUAGAGUGUAUCAAACUAAUUGUGUAUAUAUGUUCAAUUUAAUGCUCCUUUGAAAGCCAAUUAGCCCAAGCUCAGCACAUUUCCCCUUUUAUUAUGGGUAAAGUGCAAGUUUUAAAAAAUAUAGAUCCUACAGUAGGGAAAAAUAAUAAUGACAUAC